CUUUUGAGGAUGUGUUACUAAGAAUUAAUGACGCAGAUGCCAGCAAUGGAUUGCUCACGUCUGCACUCUCUUACCCCAACAGCCAUUUGCAUAGACAAGAUUAACACCAUUAAGCCAAGCUGAGUUUAUAUUCCACUUCAUACAACUGGGAUGUUUUCCAGCCCAAACGCACUCAUUAGGCACUCGCUUUCCUAAAAAGUGAAACACGCAGCCAAUGCAAAGAGAAGAAAAACGCGUUUUCUUCGAGUGCGGGUUUUUUUUUUUUUUUCUUUUUCCUGUGAUGAAUCUCAUAUUUGCCAAGAAGAAAAUAGCUAGGUGCAUGGAGUUGACCUCGGCCAGGCACGGCAGGGUGGAAUCGAUCAAAGGAGCACAUUAGAACCAGCGCUCAGCAGGUGCGGGACCAUUACACUGUCUAAACACCCGUUAAUUAUUCUGAGGACUGCAUGAGAGCAACCGGCUGAAGCCUGGUUUUUUGAAGUCUUAAGAGGCGGCCAAGAAAAGCACCCACUACCGAUCCAGAUGUUCCCCGGGGACCACAGAACUCAACAGGACACUUGAAGCAAUCCCUGGGUUUGAUGUUAUGGUCAGAAAAGUAACGACGAGAAAAUUGAUGAAGCCACACACACAGCCCCCAUACAAAUCCCCCUCGUGUCCUCUCAGGAGAUGCCCAAACACCAGGGGCAGCAGUGCUCCUGGAUCUGACAGCAUCAGGAAAACAAGUGACAGAUAGCACUGGCUGUGUAUUGGGGACUUCAGCUCAGCAAAGGGAUAGCAGGCGUGCCUGAGGGCACAGGCAUGAGAGCCUGGUCCACCUAACUGGACCUUCCUUCAUGAAGCAGGAGCUGCCUCCUGCUUCCCAGCAAGAUGGCCUCCUUAAUGAUCAUCAGGGAAGAAAAGGGUUGGGGCUCAGCUCUGUGGUACUGCAAGGGCUUAGCAUGACCCAGCCCUGACUCCAUCCCCAGUACCCAGGUCUAGGUUUGGAGAAAGGCUCUGUGGAGCAGGUUCUUUCUCUAUGUUGCCUAGGUCUCUAGAGCCUUGCAGCUCCCUGUUCCCCUUUCCACCAGAACAUUCUAGAAACCACAGCGCAUAUGCCCCCCCAUUCCUCACCUGCUGACAUCCACCUGCUCCCUCCCCCCCACACACACUGAGGCUACAGCGGUGAAUCAGACUUCUCCUCCAUCCACAUCAGUUGGCCUCAAAACUGUGGCCUUCGAGGCCUCUAAUGAGUGUCACCCAAAUAGGUCAUUCUUGCUGUACCCCCCAGGGAUCUCCCUCUGUGGCUGACUGUGGCCCCACACGCUAAACCACAGCCCAGACACAAGGCACCCCCUUGCACAUCCCCUAACGGGCCUUCUUAAAGGGUCUUCUCUGGACACUCUCCCCUUCCUCUGCCUAAUUACAGCCGUCUUUUAUUCUCAACCAAAGUCAUGUCCUGGUUAGGUUUCAUUGUCGACCUUGGCACACCCGGGCAGAGAGAGCGUUAAUUGAAGAACUAACUGCCUUGAUCAGAUUGACCUGUCUGUGAGAGGUCUGGGUUGAUGACUGGUGCAGGAGGGCUCGAGCCACUGUGGCAGGCAGGUCUGGCUUCUAGGAGCUGUCCCGAGUAGGAGGCCUGAGCCAGGUUGGCUCCUGAGGUCCCCUGUACACAGCCAGCUGUCUGCCACCUGUUUCCUGAUGCCCUCAGAUCUAGGAGCAACUCUUCUCCUCAGGGGACACUAGCUUCCCCUCCCCCUUUCCUACAAGUACCC
rnacentral:lncRNA from 1 species